rnacentral:rRNA from 1 species
GUUUGAUCAUGGCUCAGAACGAACGCUGGCGGCAGGCUUAACACAUGCAGGUCGAGCGCCUCGCAAGAGGAGCGGCAGACGGGUGAGUAACGCGUGGGAAUCUACCCAUCUCUACGGAACAACUCCGGGAAACUGGAGCUAAUACCGUAUACGUCCUUCGGGAGAAAGAUUUAUCGGAGAUGGAUGAGCCCGCGUUGGAUUAGCUAGUUGGUGGGGUAAUGGCCUACCAAGGCGACGAUCCAUAGCUGGUCUGAGAGGAUGAUCAGCCACAUUGGGACUGAGACACGGCCCAAACUCCUACGGGAGGCAGCAGUGGGGAAUAUUGGACAAUGGGCGCAAGCCUGAUCCAGCCAUGCCGCGUGAGUGAUGAAGGCCCUAGGGUUGUAAAGCUCUUUCAACGGUGAAGAUAAUGACGGUAACCGUAGAAGAAGCCCCGGCUAACUUCGUGCCAGCAGCCGCGGUAAUACGAAGGGGGCUAGCGUUGUUCGGAAUUACUGGGCGUUAAGCGCACAUAGGCG